CCUACGGGAGGCAGCAGUAGGGAAUCUUCCGCAAUGGGCGAAAGCCUGACGGAGCAACGCCGCGUGAGUGAUGAAGGUCUUCGGAUCGUAAAACUCUGUUAUUAGGGAAGAACAUAUGUGUAAGUAACUGUGCACAUCUUGACGGUACCUAAUCAGAAAGCCACGGCUAACUACGUGCCAGCAGCCGCGGUAAUACGUAGGUGGCAAGCGUUAUCCGGAAUUAUUGGGCGUAAAGCGCGCGUAGGCGGUUUUUUAAGUCUGAUGUGAAAGCCCACGGCUCAACCGUGGAGGGUCAUUGGAAACUGGAAAACUUGAGUGCAGAAGAGGAAAGUGGAAUUCCAUGUGUAGCGGUGAAAUGCGCAGAGAUAUGGAGGAACACCAGUGGCGAAGGCGACUUUCUGGUCUGUAACUGACGCUGAUGUGCGAAAGCGUGGGGAUCAAACAGGAUUAGAUACCCUGGUAGUC
rnacentral:rRNA from 1 species